ACCUCCCACAAUGAAGACAUGCUCUGGGACACUCUCCUGUAGGGUCAUAUAUAGUGAAAAGCAGAGACUUUGUUGAAGAGGAUUUGUGUGUGCAAUUGGUUUUCUUUAUCAUCGUUCAAAGAAGGAAUCAUAUGAAGGGGAAAUGUAUGGAAUGCUGCAAGCCAUGAGAAGAAGAAAUAAUCUCGGAUCAUGUCCUAGAAACAUUGCAAUCAAUAUGAAGUCAUCUGAAGUUGUGUGUGAUGAAAUGUUGGACCAUUCCAGAUAUUGCAUUUUUAAAAAAUGUCAUAUGGUGGGUGACAUUGGCCUUUUAAUCACAGAUGUAAUUU